GCACGGAAGAGGAAGAAAGAGAGGUCCUAAGGGCAGUAGGGAUGAGAACAUGAAGGAACGCGAGUGCUCUGAAUUUCUCGUCUCGCACGGAGGACAUGUGCACUGUCGUGUUCCUGAUGCCUCUCAUUCCUAUGGUUCUUAGGUGCUCCUUCCUCUUCCUUUUGCUU
rnacentral:pre_miRNA from 1 species